CCUACGGGGGGCUGCAGUGAGGAAUAUUGGUCAAUGGACGAAAGUCUGAACCAGCCAUGCCGCGUGCAGGAUGAAUGCCCUAUGGGUUGUAAACUGCUUUUAUAUAGGAAUAAACCCCUUUACGUGUAAAGGGCUGAAGGUACUAUAAGAAUAAGGACCGGCUAACUCCGUGCCAGCAGCCGCGGUAAUACGGAGGGUCCAAGCGUUAUCCGGAUUAAUUGGGUUUAAAGGGUCCACAGACGGCAAAAUUGAAAGCCUAUCGCGUAACGAUAGAACUGCCAUUGAUACUGUUGUGCUUGAGUAUACUUGAAGUGGGCGGAAUGUGUCAUGUAGCGGUGAAAUGCAUAGAUAUGACACAGAACACCGAUUGCGAAGGCAGCUCACUAAAUUAUAACUGACGCUCAUGGACGAAAGCGUGGGGAGCAAACAGGAUUAGAUACCCGGGUAGUC
rnacentral:rRNA from 1 species